UUUGAUGCAUUACUGUAUUUUAAUAUUUUGUUGGAAGCCGCCCAGAGUGGCUGGGGAAGCCCAGCCAGAUGGGCGGGGUAUAAAUAAAUAAAUAAAUAAAUAAAUAAAAUAAUAAUAAUAAUAAUAAUAAUAAUAAUAAUAAUAAUAAAAAAUUUAUAAUUUAUAUGCUGCCCAUCAGACUGGGUAGCCCCAGUCACUCUGGGCGACUCCCAACAAAAUAUUAAAAACACAAUAAAAUAUCAA